rnacentral:rRNA from 1 species
GAUCCUGGCUCAGGACGAACGCUGGCGGCGUGCCUAACACAUGCAAGUCGAACGGAACUUCUUCAAAAGGUUUCUUCGGAAUGAAUUUGAUUAAGUUUAGUGGCGGACGGGUGAGUAACGCGUGAGUAACCUGCCUCUAAGAGGGGAAUAACAUUCUGAAAAGAAUGCUAAUACCGCAUAAUAUAUAUUUAUCGCAUGGUAGAUAUAUCAAAGAUUUAUCGCUUAGAGAUGGACUCGCGUCCGAUUAG